UUGAACGCUGGCGGCAGGCCUAACACAUGCAAGUCGAGCGGAUGAAGGGAGCUUGCUCCUGGAUUCAGCGGCGGACGGGUGAGUAAUGCCUAGGAAUCUGCCUGGUAGUGGGGGAUAACGUCCGGAAACGGGCGCUAAUACCGCAUACGUCCUGAGGGAGAAAGUGGGGGAUCUUCGGACCUCACGCUAUCAGAUGAGCCUAGGUCGGAUUAGCUAGUUGGUGGGGUAAAGGCCUACCAAGGCGACGAUCCGUAACUGGUCUGAGAGGAUGAUCAGUCACACUGGAACUGAGACACGGUCCAGACUCCUACGGGAGGCAGCAGUGGGGAAUAUUGGACAAUGGGCGAAAGCCUGAUCCAGCCAUGCCGCGUGUGUGAAGAAGGUCUUCGGAUUGUAAUGCACUUUAAGUUGGGAGGAAGGGCAGUAAGUUAAUACCUUGCUGUUUUGACGUUACCAACAGAAUAAGCACCGGCUAACUUCGUG
rnacentral:rRNA from 1 species